UAAUUAACUAAAUAAUCGGGAUUAGCCU
rnacentral:piRNA from 1 species